rnacentral:rRNA from 1 species
CCCUUAGAUGUUCUGGGCCGCACGCGCGCUACACUGACGAUGGCAACGAGUUUUUCCUUCGCCGAAAGGUGUGGGUAAUCUUUUGAAACAUCGUCGUGCUGGGGAUAGAUCAUUGCAAUUUUUGAUCUUGAACGAGGAAUUCCUAGUAAGCGCGAGUCAUCAGCUCGCGUUGAUUACGUCCUUGCCCUUUGUACACACCGCCCGUCGCUACUACCGAUUGAAUGGUUUAGUGAGGACUCCUGAUUGGCGCCGCCGCCCCGGCAACGGAGCAGCGGACUGCCGAAAAGUUGUUCAAACUUGAUCAUUUAGAGGAAGUAAAAGUCGUAACA